GCCAGCGUGGCACAGUGCUUUGUGUGUUGAACUAGGACUCUGGAGACCUGGGUUCGAUUCCUAGCUUGGCC